CUCGAACCCCCUUCGACCAAACGAAUAAAAACCGGAGCUUCUUUCUGUUCUCUCCCUUUGGACAGGGCUCGGUGGGGCUGGAGUCCAUAAAACCUGAAGUGACUCCUCCCGAGCGCCCUUGGGCUCUCCUGUCUCUUGGAAGUGGACAGCAGGGCCACAGGUGUGCGCCACCACAGCCACCCGAGCCAGAUUCCCCUCUGCUGAGAAGCCCGGGCUGUGGGCGGCCUCCUCAGCCUGCGUCUGCUGGGCCGGGCCCAGACGUGGACCAGCCCCUCGCUGGAGGAGGGAUGCAGCUCUGCCCUACGAGGUCAGCAACCAGAAGGGCGGCUGCGCCUGUGUGGGAACAUCGCAGUUGUUGGAAGGCUGGCGAGACGCUGUGCUGACUGAAGGCAAAGUGCACAUCGCAGGGACGUGGUGGUACUGCCACACUCUCUCCCCGCUGCGCCAGGUUAGCAAAAAGCGGCUCAGGCUUCUGCGGCUGCUGCGAGUCCAUCUUGGGCACUCAGCUGUGCCAUCUUGAGGAACACGCACACCCAAAUGCCAGGGACACUCACUGGAGGCCCAGGGUGCCUCAAACUUGACACCCUCCUGCUCCAGCCUCCCACAGUGCUGGGGUGGCAGGCGGCCACCAUCAUGGCCAGCCCCAAUAAAACUUUAUUUAUGACAACAGGCUGGGGACCAGCUUGGCCUGCUGAGGAAGUCCCCUGAGUCUGGCUGUAGAACUGAGACCAGUGUGAGGCACUGUUUGGGGCACAGUUUGUUGCUGAGGGCAGGAAGCGCAGUCUCCUUGUGUAACCAUGACUACCGUCCAUCCCAGAACUCCUCACCUUCCAAAUAUGAACCCCAGGACCUUUAGACCCCAAUUCCCCUGCCUCUGGGUCCCACCCACCUGCCCUAUCUCCACGUGUCUGACUCCAGGGACCUCAUGCAAAUGGAGUCACACAGUAUUUAUCCUUCUGUGACUUGCUUAUCUCACUGAGCACAAUGUCUUCUGGGUCCAUCCAUGUUGUAACAGGUGUGGGAACUUCCUUCCUCUUCUGGGCUGUAUAAUAUUCCCCUGCCCAGAGUCCCUGGGCUGCCUCUGCCUUGGGCCCUUACUAAGCAGGGACACAAACAUCUGUUUCUGCCCUUCUUCUUGGUUCUUUGUGCCCCAUACCCAGAAGUAGAUUGUUGUGUUCUGUGCUCAUUCCAAUUUAAGGUUUUGAGAGCCACUACCUGGCUGCCACUGCACCCGCACCAUCUUGUGUCCCAUCAGCAAAGCCCGACUUCAUGCUCCUCCUGUCCUCCCAGGUUCCUGUCUCUUCCUGUUUCUCAGCUGUUUUCCCAGGGCGUGGACAGCCAGAUUACCUGGUGGCUUUGCUUUGCGUCUCCCUGCAGAUAAGGGACAAGUCCCUCCACACUGUCCUCUCCCACGUGUGCCCUCCAGGCAGGCCGAGGAGGCUUGCGGCAGCGAGGAGGUGGCCCCUGCCUCGGGUGUCACCCUCCCAGCUACGAAGCAGGAAGCAGGCCAGGGCCUCACUCUGAAGUUCAGGUGGCCUGGAACUCACUAUAUAACCCAGACUGGUCUUGAUCUCCCAGAGAGCCUCCUGCCUCAGCCUCCUGAGUGCUAGGAUUACAAGGUAAAUGCACACUGGCAGCUCUCUGAGCCCACACAGUGGACAUCAGCCCUGUUUUACCUCCAGACCCGCCCACCACCAUUCCCCGGUCCCCUCAAGCCUCCUAGGAGCUGGGCCUGUCUUCCCUGCAUCCAUGCAGGAAGCAGAUGUGUGCGUAGACCCGAAGGUGUGAAGAUGGUCAUCAGAGGGUCACCGCGGUGCAGGAACAAAGCAGGGUGGGAGUGGGGGCUCCGGGUGGGAGGAGGCGCGGGGGAUGUGGGCUUGGGGACCUGGGGUCCAGACUGGGCUCCCACAGGACCUGGGGGUUCGGUUUCCUGUAGCCACGCUGCCAGAGGUGGGCAGGGCUGCGCCCCUUCUCGGGGGCCCUGGAGGAGGCUCCAGCCCGAGGGUCAGGCGGCAGCUUUGGUCCCCGCCUCUUCCUCCUCCUCUUCUUCCUUCCCGUAUUGGGGACCGAAUCAGGGCGGUGCACCCCUGAGCCAGCCCAGCGCUGGUUAUUUUAUUCUGAGGCAGGGUCCUGACGAAGUUGCCAGGCUGGCUUCCAAGGUUUGAUCCUCCUGCCUCAGCCUCCAGAGUAGCUGGGGUGACGGGUGUGUGCCACCACGCCUGGCUCACUUCUGCCACAUUUCUUGGCUGAAGCAGGUCACAAGCAAUCAGGCAAGCUUCCGGGGGACAGCAGACGCUUGGUGGCAAGGACACAAAGGUGUGCGGCGCCUUUUAUCUACUGCACAGGGCAGAGUGGGGAGGAAGGCUCACGCUCCCGGCCCCUUCCUCAGCUCCUUCUCCAUUUUCCUGUGGUGCCAUUGUCUCUGCUUUCAAAACCAUGAGCUCCAAGGGUGCCAGGAUCAUGUCUGCUUUGUCACCAUGGGUCCCUGCUGCUGGUGCUAUGUCUGGCAUAGGGCGGGGCCCUGAAAUCUUGUCGAGUGCCUGAGCCUCUCCUGACAGGACCCACGUCAGUCAGCUGUACAUCACGGUGACCAAGUGCCCCGGAAAGUCAGCUUGAAGGAGGGAAGGGUGAUUUUGGCUCACAGCUUCAGAGGGUGCAGUCCACGGCAGGGUGCUUCAGGGGCGGAAGAUGGUGGCAGAAGGGCCUGGCCAGGGGAGUUGCUCGUAGCCUUGGCCGGGAGGGAGGGCAUGGUGGACGGUGUAACCUAACAUUCGGGAGGCUGGGUGGGAGGAUUGUGAGUUUGGGGCCAGCCCAGGGAACUUAGUGAGACCCUCUCUCAAAAUAAAAAGGGUCCAGGGCCCGGGGAAGUAGCUCAG